rnacentral:rRNA from 1 species
CCCGCUGAACUUAAGCAUAUCAAUAAGCGCAGGAAAAGAAACCAACAGGGAUUACCUCAGUAACGGCGAGUGAAGCGGUAAUAGCUCAAAUUUGAAAUCUGGCCUCUUGGGGUCCGAGUUGUAAUUUGUAGAGGAUGUUUUGGGUACCGCCCCGGUUUAAAUUUCUUGGAACAGAAUGUCAAAGAGGGUGAGAAUCCCGUCUUGGACCGGUGGUAGGGCCUGUGUAAAACUCCUUCGACGAGUCGAGUUGUUUGGGAAUGCAGCUCAAAAUGGGUGGUAAAUUUCAUCUAAAGCUAAAUAUUGGCCAGAGACCGAUAGCGCACAAGUAGAGUGAUCGAAAGAUGAAAAGCACUUUGAAAAGAGAGUUAAACAGUAUGUGAAAUUGUUGAAAGGGAAGCGCUUGCAACCAGACUUGAGCGCGGCGGUUCCCCUGACCUUUUGGUUAGGCUAUUCCGUCGUGUCCAGGCCAACAUCGGUUCUGAGGGUCGGUCAAAGGCCUUGGGAAUGUAUCUACCCACGGGUAGACUUAUAGACCAGGGUGUCAUGCGGCCUCUCGGGACCGAGGAACGCGCUUCGGCUCGGAUGUUGGCGUAAUGGUUGUCAGCGACCCGUCUUGAAACACGG